CAAGUUCUCUUACAUAGCUAGAAAUAAAAUUUGCAGUGUCUUUACCUGUAAUGACUUUCUUUUCAUGAACCCUUCUGUUUCUGUCCUUCUAAAUAGCCUAGAGUGCAUAACAAAGUAACUUCCUCUGAUGGGUGGUACAAGAUUAAAAAUCCAGGACAUUGCUGGAACAGAUGAUCCAUUGAUUUGUCCACACCUCCAUACUGAGGGCAGCAAGAACUUCUCAGACUUUAAGUUAGCAAACGUAGGUAGAUAGUUCCAAGAAAUCCUCUAGAGUGUAACUUUAAUUUUUCCCGAAAGGUCUAGUUUCCAUAAGAGCUUAUAGAAAUCACUAGAUCUGGUUUGUAAUGCAUAAGCACUAGGAUCCUCCAAAA